rnacentral:rRNA from 1 species
CCUACGGAGGGCAGCAGUGGGGAAUAUUGGACAAUGGGGGCAACCCUGAUCCAGCCAUGCCGCGUGUGUGAAGAAGGCCCUCGGGUUGUAAAGCACUUUCAGUGAGGAAGAACGCCUGGUGGUUAAUACCCAUCAGGAAAGACAUCACUCACAGAAGAAGCACCGGCUAACUCCGUGCCAGCAGCCGCGGUAAUACGGAGGGUGCGAGCGUUAAUCGGAAUUACUGGGCGUAAAGCGCGCGUAGGUGGCUUGAUAAGCCGGUUGUGAAAGCCCCGGGCUCAACCUGGGAACGGCAUCCGGAACUGUCAAGCUAGAGUGCAGGAGAGGAAGGUAGAAUUCCCGGUGUAGCGGUGAAAUGCGUAGAGAUCGGGAGGAAUACCAGUGGCGAAGGCGGCCUUCUGGACUGACACUGACACUGAGGUGCGAAAGCGUGGGUAGCAAACAGGAUAGAUACCCUAGUAGUC